rnacentral:rRNA from 1 species
AGUGGGAAACCUGCCCAGAAGUGGGGGAUAACACCUGGAAACAGAUGCUAAUACCGCAUAACAACUUGGACCGCAUGGUCCGAGUUUGAAAGAUGGCUUCGGCUAUCACUUUUGGAUGGUCCCGCGGCGUAUUAGCUAGAUGGUGGGGUAACGGCUCACCAUGGCAAUGAUACGUAGCCGACCUGAGAGGGUAAUCGGCCACAUUGGGACUGAGACACGGCCCAAACUCCUACGGGAGGCAGCAGUAGGGAAUCUUCCACAAUGGACGAAAGUCUGAUGGAGCAACGCCGCGUGAGUGAAGAAGGGUUUCGGCUCGUAAAACUCUGUUGUUAAAGAAGAACAUAUCUGAGAGUAACUGUUCAGGUAUUGACGGUAUUUAACCAGAAAGCCACGGCUAACUACGUGCCAGCAGCCGCGGUAAUACGUAGGUGGCAAGCGUUGUCCGGAUUUAUUGGGCGUAAAGCGAGCGCAGGCGGUUUUUUAAGUCUGAUGUGAAAGCCUUCGGCUCAACCGAAGAAGUGCAUCGGAAACUGGGAAACUUGAGUGCAGAAGAGGACAGUGGAACUCCAUGUGUAGCGGUGAAAUGCGUAGAUAUAUGGAAGAACACCAGUGGCGAAAGCGGCUGUCUGGUCUGUAACUGACGCUGAGCUCGAAGUAUGGGUAGCAAACAGGAUUAAUACCCUGGUAGUCCAUACCGUAACGAUGAAUGCUAAG